rnacentral:rRNA from 1 species
AUGUGCUCUCGGAGGAGGACUCGGUGGCCUGGCCCCACUCUGCAUCUGGGCGUUUUUCCUGUGAAAUCGUUAUAUGGCAAACUCAUAUCUGGAUCGACCACUACCAAAUUUAAGUGGAUCUGGAGGGCCCGCAUCCCUCCUAAGGUUAAGGUCUUCCUAUGGCAAGCUCUACGAGGACGCCUUCCGGGGGUUGACCAGAUUCGCAAGCGUAAUGGUCCGCGAUUUGAUAGAUGUGCUUUAUGUGGCCAGAGAGAAGACACAACUCACAUCUUCUUCAACUGUGUCUUGGCUAGGCUAUUUUGGUGUUGUAUCAGAUCGCGGCUUCAUGUCUCUUGA